AACGUAGGUUCCGAGCGUUAUCCGGAUUUACUGGGCGUAAAGCGCGUUCAGGCGGUUUGGCAAGUCGGGCAUGAAAUCUCUCGGCUCAACCGGGAGAGGUUGUCCGAUACUGCUGGACUUGAGGGCAGUAGAGGGUGGUGGAAUUCCGGGUGUAGUGGUGAAAUGCGUAGAUAUCCGGAGGAACACCAGUGGCGAAAGCGACUACCUGGCCUGUUCUUGACGCUGAGGCGCGAAAGCUAGGGGAGCAAACGGG
rnacentral:rRNA from 1 species